GGGGUCGUAGCUCAGCUGGUUAGAGCGCCGGCCUGUCACGCCGGAGGUCGCGAGUUCGAGCCUCGUCGGCCCCG
rnacentral:tRNA from 1 species